UGGACUUUUCUUCUUCAUUUUGUUGCUUCUUCACACAGUAGAGGGAAACACACAGGUCGGAACUUGUAAAAGAUUGUUACAGGGCUACCUUACAGGACAACUUUCUUCUGCUUUAGAGAUAGAAUCUCUCAAGCAGGAAUUCAGAAGGUUCACAGAUGUUAUUGAGAAAUCUGUGAAAAAAUUAGAGGGACGGGUUAAUGCAGGUCUCAGAACAGAAGAUGAGAGAAAGAAAAGAAGUGUUUACACAAGAUGGGGGAAGAAAAAGUGUCCCUCUGAUGCAGAGUUAGUGUUUUCUGGAUUUGCUGCAGGGUCAUAUCCUUCCAACAGACUUGUGAAUGUGGAAACUAUUUGUAUACCAAAAGACCCGGAGUGGGGGAUCAAAUUGAAUUAUCUGGAUAGACAAUCUAACUGGGGAGCCAACCUUUAUGGUGCAACUUACAAGUAUUCGUAUAAAGAUCAGGGUGUUCCCUGUGCUGUUUGUUUGGUUAAAAAUAGAUCUAUAACAAAAGUAUUUCCAGGUGAGAAACAUAUUACAAUAAAUUUUUUUUAAGUAACCAAAAAAUAAGAAGAAGAAAAAGUCAGAAAUACUACUUAUUAGGACAAAAUAAAAAAAACUAUAGAACUUCACUGGUACAUGUAUAUAGAAAAUGUCCUUUUUCA